GUGCUCAAUUCAGCAGCACAAAUGCUCAAAUUGAAAUGAUACAGAGAAGAGUACUAUGGUUCCUGUGCAAGGAUGACACAAAAACUCAUGAAGUAUUUCCUAAUUUU